UACGUAGGGACCAAGCGUUGUUCGGAUUUACUGGGCGUAAAGGGCGCGUAGGCGGCAAUUCAAGUCAUCUGUGAAAUCUCCGAGCUUAACUCGGAACGGUCAGAUGAUACUGCUUUGCUAGAGUGCAGAAGGGGCAACCGGAAUUCUUGGUGUAGCGGUGAAAUGCGUAGAUAUCUGGAGGAAUACCGGUGGCGAAGGCGGCAUCCUCGGACCGACGAUUGACGCUGAGGAGCGAAAGCCAGGGGAGCAAACGGG
rnacentral:rRNA from 1 species